GUCCCUUCGGGGACAUCCAAUAAAAUUGGAACGAUACAGACAAGAUUAGCAUGGCCCCUGCGCAAUGAUGACACGCACAAAUUGAGAAAUGGUUCAAUUUUUU